UAAAAUCCAAAAAAUAAGAUGCAUAAACAUGUUUAGAGAUCCUUCUUACCAAAUUGGUAGUGACUCUAGUAAAGAAGUUCCCAUUAUUGCUCGAGAGCUAAAGUCACUAAAAAUUUAAAGUAAAGAGGCUAUACAAAAUGAAAAAGAGAAAAUUAAAAGAGGGGCCCAACUUGCCAUUCUAAAGGAUGAACUUAGAAUUCUAAAACAAAAGGAUGAGAGGAUACAAGAGAAUAUUAAGAGAAAAAGAGAGAAAGACAAGAGAAAGAAGGAAAAACAAAGAGAGAAAGAGGAACAAGCAAGAAAAGAGAAAAAGAAGGAGGAAAAUAGUAAAGAGUAUGAAGAUAAAAAGAUAAGAGAAAGGAAUGAGAAAUAAAAGAGGAAAAAAGAAGAUAUUGAAAUAAUAGAAGAAGAAGAAGUGCUACUAAAGGAACCUAUCGUUCCCUCAAUAAUAGUUGAAACCAAGAUGAUAAAGGAAGUUUUCUAAUUUUUGAACUUUUCUCAAUUUAUCAUUCAAACUCUUU
rnacentral:lncRNA from 1 species